CCAACACACUGGACAUUAGCCCAGCUUCCAAAUGCAUCUCUCUGUUAGAUUUGGAACCUGGGAUUUCCUACUUGAUCCCUCGAACUAGAAAGAAAGGGGCAGCCAUUUUGACCAUCCUCCUUGAACCGGCCACACCUCAGGUGAGAUAUCGUGGUGACAACUCAUCUAGCAACACCAUUACCCAAAGGUACUGGCACAGUCUGUUUUGGUAGUACACAUGAAAACAAACAAGGAAAGAGACAGAAAGCACAGGCAAUUCCUUGGAUGUCGUGUUUUGCUGAGGCUAUAAAGUGGAGGAGGCAGAGAUUUGUUGGGAUUCUUGCUCGGCACACACAGCCAAA